UCAUCGGUGGUUCAGUGGUAGAAUGUUCGCCUGCCACACGGGCGACCCAAGUUCGAUUCCCGGCCGAUGCA
rnacentral:tRNA from 1 species